ensembl:lincRNA
AUGGCGGCGUCCGACAUGGUUAGACUACAGCUUCAGUUUGACUCCCCGCCGCCAGUCACCCGGAAUUGUACUGUCUUCUGGCUUCUGGUAGACACGAACAGAUGCCAAGUCGUCACGGAUCUCAUUCGUCUCAUCCGCCAGCGCUUCGGCUUCAGUUCCGGCGCCGUCCUGGGCCUCUACCUGGACGGGAGACUCUUGCCUCCCGCCGAGAGCGCGCGCCUGGUGCGGGACAACGACCGCCUCAGAGUCAAGUUAGAAGACGGCGAAGUUCCCGAGCUUCCUGCCCCGGUCAGCAGUCGGGGCGAUACUCACUUCCUGCCGGUGAAAGCCGGGGAGCGGCCUUCGAAGCUGGAGGCGGAUCCAGAGGCCGAGCGAGGUCGCGUCCUCUCGGAGCAGCCCCGGAAGAGGCGGGAGAACAGCCGCGGGAAGGAGGAGGCGUCGGAGCCGCACGCAGACGCCGUGCCGGGUGGGCCUGUGAGGAAGAAAAGCAAGCGGGGAAACGAGGCGGCCUGUGACAACGCGGGGGAUGACGAGGACGGAGAGACCAGACGGAAGUCACCCACGAAGAAGCGUGAGUGUGAAAAGCAGACCAAGAACCGCGGGCCUCCGAAAGCACAGGCGGUCCUAGGGCGGAGCGCCCCGAGCUGUAGUCCCGGCAAAGGCUCUGCCGGCAACCUCGUGGGCAAAGCCCGAAGGAAAGGCGGGGGCAGCGCUGAGGCCGAGGACAGUCCCGCUUCCUCCUCCGGGUCGGAGUCUUCUUGCGGCUCAGGCAGCGAUCGGCUCAGCAGCGCCACGCCGGAGGCCGGCAGCUCCCCCGAGAAGCUGGCGGCCGAGUUACCAAAGGAAGGGCCCUCUGCAGAAAACACAGCUGCCAACAAACUGUGUACGAAAGCCGCCCUUAACCUCGAUUCUGGCAAGGGCAAGGCCCCCAGGGCCUCGUCGUCGUCAUCCAGUUUGGACUCCAGUUGGGAAUCGGGUGAUGAGCCCGUGGCCCCCAAGCUGGCGCCGGAGCGCUGGAGCAGCUUCUCCAAAACAGCCGGCCUCCUGUCAGGAAGGGCCUACCCCGGGCCAGGGCCAUCCCCGCGCACGCCGGCUGCCACGGGCUGGAAGCCUUCUGACCCAAGCCACGACAGACAGCCUGUCCCUCUGCCCAGCUUCGGCAGAGGAUGGGGGCGAGGAGAGGACUUUGUUUUCUGGAAGGGAGCGAGAGGUCAAGGCCAAGCUCUGUCCUGUGUCUUAAAUAAAAACUCGGAGUGUCAGAAGCAGCAGCAACUCCAUGAGAUCGUAACAAACUCAUCUACUAUCAUCCAGCUUUUGGAACUAACAUCAGAUUAUUCUCCUGAUGUCUCUGACUAUAAGGAAGGAAAACUAUUAAGCCACAAUCCAGAGACCCAGCAAGUAGAUAUAGAAAUCCUGUCAGCCUUACCGGCCGUGAAGGAACCUGGGAAAUUUGACUUGGUUUAUCACAAUGAAAAUGGAACCGAGGUCGUGGAGUAUGCUGUGAUGCAGGAGAAGAAGAUCACUGUUUUCUGGAGAGAGUUGAUUGACCCAAGAUUGAUUAUUGAACCCACUAGUACCACCUCCAGUACUGAACUCCAGAAUCUGACCGCUGAGCCUCAUGGUCUAUAAAUGUCCUGCUUGUGAAGGGGACUGCAACUUGAGCUUUUUUAAAAAAGAAGAUUUAGAAGUUGUAUGUAUUCUUUGUUACCUUCAUUUUACUGUGUAGAAAAAAAAAUCUACCUCAACAUUUAACAUUGAAUGUUGGUUUGUAGACCUUUCCUUUCUUCAGGUUAACUUCAGUUAACAAAAUUUAAAACAUAACAUUCCCAACAGGCGCUGUUACUUGUUUGGUUUCUUUAUCCUGUUUUUUCGACCAUCAGAGUAUAUCGGCUGUAGAUUUAUAAUUCCAAGUGCAAGAACAGGCUGCAUAUCUUGUCUCGACAAGUUUUAUUAAGUAACAUUUUAAAAAUUAAAAUAUGUUGCUUUACCUAAUUUUUUAACGUUUGAGUUGUUCCCUUAAAUGUGGAACAUCUUAUAGAUUUCAAGUAUUUUAUACUUGUAGUUGCCAAGAAUUAACAGGCGGUUGGGUUUGUUGCGGGCAAUGAGUUAAGGGAUCCUUUCACCAUUUUUCCAUCUUGAAAGUUAAGGAUGUUCAGGGGGACCUGUGCGGAGCAGUGAAAAUAAAACCUCACAUGUGCUUGGAAAGGAGCUGGAGAGCAUUCAGGAGAGAGGAUUUGCCACGCACCUCCCAGCAGCGAAUGUGCUGUCCCUGCAAUUUGCAGAGCACCUGGCUCAGUGCUGGAGUGAGGAUCUUGAAGAGAAACUGCCCUUGCUGUUAUUCAGAAGCUAAAGUGGCUGAAUAUAUGACAUGAAAAUCGCUUUCUUUUAACAACAGAUGAGAUCCCACCUUGAGCUUUGCAAAUUUCUAAAUAAAAUCAUAUUGAACUUUAAAAAUAUAACAAUAUAAGCCAUUUUAUUAGCACAUUCACAGUGUUCUUUCAUAAAACAACUAUAAAUUCAUGAGGCCACAAGUAAUAAUAAUUGUAAUUAACAUUUAUUGUCUGUCGUGUCUAAUUCAGUUCCAGCAUUUUUCUCUUGAGUUAACAAGUUUAAACAUCAUCUAUUAAAUUCCUA